UUGAUCUGAAUUAUCCACCAAAGUGAUAAAACAGAAGCUGAUGAACAAUUUAUUUGUCUACACUACUUGGAACAUGUUUUUUAUCAUGAUGCCGAGGUCCUGAAGGAGGGUCAGAUUGAUAAUAGUCAUCAAUUACUUGUAUACCUGAAUAUGGUGAGCAAAUAAAAUAGGACUCCAGAGAGGCAACAGUUUGCUCAAUAGGGUAGAUUGACAUUCCAACAGUGCCUCUAGUAGACUUAAAAAGUCACCACAGUUUUUACAGAACACUAGUGGGAAUAUCAAUAGAUACGAGGAGAAAACGGUUGGCACUUACCACUUUAGAGUGUGCCACAAGCUGGAGAACACAGGGUGUCACCUUGCCCCAAAAGUCUAAUAAAAUACUCAUUGUCACAUUGUGGGUUUCACUACUGGUCGAAUUGUGUUUAGAUACUUCCUCCAGGUAAACAGUCCAAAGCUGGAAGCGACAUCUUUCAUUUUUACAUCAUACAGUUUGCCAAUAUGUGAGGAUAUGUAAUUAAUGCGAAUAUCAUAACUACAAUUGAGAAUUAUCAUCUUGGUUGAAGAGUUGACUCAAAUAAUUACAGUAAAUCAAAGUAUCUUACCUGACAGAGAAUGAAAGUAUGAAAAAGAGAUGACAUGUGUAACACUGAAGUCUUUGAUUGUUCUGGAAAGCCAGAUAAUAUAACUUGGACAUGAUCUGCAAUGUGACAUGAAACCUCCUGGGGUAUAGGUUGUGCUAACGGAGUUGGUGGUCCAUGUAUAUGGGGAUUUCCAGACCAUGUAUUACUGUUACCAUGAAGUGCAACGUGUGUCAGUGAUCCCAAUAAAAGCCAGGAUAAAAGCCGUAUGUGGCCAAUACAGUCGACAAAUUCACGAGACCUAGGGUGAAAAAUAUCGACUAAUAUUAGAAUAUGCCAUUAAAAAUUUUAAUUAAUAAACGUCUCAAAAGGUACAUUGAGAAUGAUCACCCUUGUUGGAGAGUUGAUGGCGCACUGUAAAGCCAAGGUGGACUUUCGCGGUCAACUUCCCCACUACACCCAAUUGCCAAUUCAUGGUCUGCUCCAAGAGAUGGUUGAGAAACAUCUAAAAACAAUAUAUACACGAGCAUUUAGUGAUAUCAUAAAUACUAACAUUCCAAAUAAUCAGCUACAAAUACCUCGUGAUCUCGAUGGAGGUCCACCCAUAACAACAGUGGCAGGAAUUCUCCUACACUGAUGAUAUAGAUACAAAAGAAGAGCUUCAUGAGUCUUGGUCAAAAUAAAUCUACGACCUUGUAUAAGAGCACCAGAAGAGACAUCAGCCAGGUCCUCCUAAUAUGAGGUUCCAGAUACCAAAGGCUAUAAGUUGGAGGCUGAUGAUCAACAACUGGUACACCCUGUGGAGGACAGGGACAAUGCUGCAGUAUAGCAAGAACAGGGGGAACCAUCAUCCACCCCAUUAUAUGAUUUUGAUCCAGAAGUUGCGGUAGAUUUGCAAUAAAGACAUUGAAUACAGGAGACACUCUGAAAGUAGUACACAAGUAAUUAAUAUUACACCUAAGUUCGUACUGUUAUAGUUAAAUAAUACCUGAGACGUUGAGGAGAUGUAUGAAAUGUUCUGUCUGUUUGAUUGUAUCCCAGAAGAAGGUAAAGAUGGCGCAAGAUAAUUCCUUGUGUUUUACAUAAUGGCUUUUCAUCCGUAGGAUAAGCCUAUUUGAGAAUUAUCAGUCAUUUUAUCAUUAUAUUAUAAUUAAUAGUUGACUUAAUAAAUCAGGCGUUAACAAAUU